GCCCGCGGGCUCCCCUCAGCCCUCCCCGGCCGCCCCGCGUCGGGGCGAGCCUCGGAGACGUGGUGAGCACGGCGGGUAAAAACUCCCUUUUUUAUUUUUAUUUGGUCGUAUUCUUUGAGUCGAGCUGCGUUUUGUGAAGCUGGCACGGGUGGAUGUUGAGAAAUAAGCCUGUCCUCUGGGAGAUGUGCGUGGUGAAGAUCAAACGCGCGAAGCCUGGGGGAAGGAGAGCUGACCUUACUUGGUGGCCGCCGCGUUUUCCCCCACCCAACUCGGUGGUGUUUUGAGAGUGGAUCCAGUUGUAGACCGAGGUGUGUGAGUGAGAAUCUGGUUUCACUGAACUCCUGACACGAUCACAGCCGUGGGGCAGGACGCCGGGAAGCGCAGAGGUCUGUAACGCCAUGGUCAGGGUCAGGCAGCAGCAGGGAAACUCCAGCUUCUCCUUGGGGAUGCGGAAGAAACAAAUGGGAGGCGAUAGGAGUGAGAGGUAAUAAUGCCUGGCUUCUUUCUCUGCCUUGCUUCCCCGGCAGCUCCCGUCACUCCGUAUUUCCAAAUGCUUACAGCCCUUCCUCCCGUGCAGGAAGUACUGUAAGUCAGGAAACUUUCGUGCUCAGACCGAACAAAAGUGAAUACUCUUAGUUUUGUGUAUGUCGAGAUAUGGUCACGUAACACAUGCUCUGAAGUCUUCUUUGUGUAUGAAAGAAGAAAAAUGGUAGAGGUGAAAAGAUUAUACUGGAUCUUUUCACUGUUUAGGGUAUUCUGUGAGGUGAGGAGAGAAUGGAGAGGUGAGUACUGAAAGCAGUCGUGUGUGUAUGUGGAUCCUUAGAAAGUAACCCCGGGGGAAGGAAGGAGGAGAAAACUGUAAAUACAACGAGAGAAGCAGAAGUCUCUGUGGAUAUGCAAAGCUCAGGUGAACCGUGCUGAGCUCUGUUUAGAAACAGGCAGGAUCGGUUCAGGUGUUGUGAUCCCUCAGUGCUGAUCUAACUGUAGGAUUUAGCUGAAGAUUUUCUUGUGUACGUGCCUACAUUUGGAGCCUGUACAAACCGUCUGGAAAUCACACUGCAUUCAUUGUGCAUAGAGCAUACUGUGGUCUGCAAAUCUUUUCUGCAUAACAUUGUUGCUAACCUCUCUUUCAAGCUAAGCAUUGAAUAUGUUUGAAACAGGCUUGAGAUUAACUACAGGAUUUGUUUUAAAACACAAAGAAGUAUGUAAGAAGAUAGCAUGCUGAAAAUAACAAGGCACUUGAGCUUUUAAGUUGCAGACUGUCAUCACCCUCCCACACUGCUAAUGAAGGUAAUUCAGCAGUCUAAAAACUGGACAAAACACUUAGCCCGUGUGAGGAAGCGUUCAUAUUUCCUAGAUCACACUACUUUCUGCUUUGUUUUUAUGCCAGUAGGCUAUGUCUCGGUGACUGCCUGGCUGUUCCAGGCUGACAUGUAUAUUUUUACCUGUUGCUUCUUGUUCUGCUGCACUUCUAUUAUCUGGUCAGUUUCUUGGUGUUUUUUUUUUUUUUUUUGACUUUUUCUUCCAAGGUGGGAGCAUUUAGGAAAAAGCUGUUGUAAAUAAACCUGUUUUCAUCAUUUCAGUAAGGCCAUUAAAUCUGGCAAGCUGAUAACUGUGUGUGUGGUUUUCUCUUCUUUCUAUGGUUCAACUAUUUUUGUACAGCUACAGCACUGAAAAUGAAAAUUAAUAGCUUGAGUGCCGUGCCUGAAACUGCCUGCUGUAAAUGAGCAGCAGAUGCACAUGUCAGCGGUGCUGCUCCGUAGUUGUCCACCCAAGCUAUAUACAAAGCAGAUACGCUUCAGAAGUCUGGAUGCCCUUGCCUCUUGCCAGGCUGCUUUCCUGUAAGGGAGACCAGGCAGCAGGAGACCAGGGAGGGUGGUACAUCCUGAGCAUGUGUCCAGGUGAGCUCACGCGUGGGAUAAGUAGAAGUUUGUCCAGAGCCGGCUUGGCAGUUGGUGCCCUAGGACUGCAGAUGGUCACUCUCCAGGUCGUGCCGGAGGUUUGUCUGCUUGCAGUCUUCCCUGGAGCAGGUGAGCUCAGGCUGGAGAUGCUGUCGAGGUAGCUGGGAGCUCUUAGGGCAGCGCCACGUGGUCUCAGGGUAACAAACAGUUGCGUUGCACUGAUGGAAGCUUCUCGUGCAACAAUCUCUAAGACUUCUGUGUAACGGCUUUUCUUUCUCUUCUGCUGUAUGUCACAGGGCAUGGAGACCUAAGUGACAUACCAGCGCGUCCCGAAUGUGCUGGAAGGUUCCCCAACCCCCUCGCCUUGUUGUUGCGCUCAGCGCCCUGAAGCGGUGUGAUAGCGCGCAUCUCAAAGGCUGCUUGGAAGCGUGGUGAUGGCUGGGUGCUGCCACUUCAAGCUGAAGUCAGUUUUCUGCUUAGUGCUUUCCAGUAUGUCUGCUGUUCCACCUGCGCUCAGCUGCUUACGUUUGUUGUAUCUUCCAGGUGUCGGAACAUGCCAGUGAUGUGGGUUGGGGCCAUAUUCAGCACACUCGUCAUAACAUAGCUUGUAUCUCUUCACCAAGAGAUGGUGUAGCCUCCUAGGACAGAGGCAGUAAUAUCUCUUUUACUAAUUUCUAAAAAGACAUUUUGUUGUUUGGCCUCUUUAUGGUCAUCCUGUGGAUUUCUUCUUUCGCUGUAGGACUUUCCCCGUUCCAUGGCUGCGGCCAUACGCAAUUUUUAGGGCUUCUGGUAAAGAAUAACGGGCUGUGCCAAAGGUGUCUGUUUCACUGCAGUGCAGCGGACCGAAAGUUCAGUGUAGUUCUCCAAAUGCUUUCUGAUCGUUCGGUUUGAAAUAUAACAAUGCACAUUUUUAAUUGGGUCUGAGAUUAGCCUGUGUAUUUUGCUGCUUUAAAUGGUAUCCACUGUACUAGAGGCACCUUUGAAUAAUGGAGUAGAACAUCUUUAUAUACAGCUUCCACUACAUGGAACCACAGAAUCACAAUAAGCCUUCUGUAAUUAAGACAGAUUUUGACGACUGCAUCGUUUAGAUUACCUUCCCAAAGAGGGGAAAUACCAUUAUGAGGUUUGUAUAAAAAUCCCCAUUGGGAGUGGGGGGUAUGUUUGAUAUCGCGUACUCUUUAUUAGAACACAACCUCUCUUUCUGGACGUUGCGUUUGCAUCAGACAGUGCGCUUCUCUGUCUUACCCUUGGGCUGUUUGGGCGCUCCCCAAAGACGUGCCCUAUCCCAGGGAGGGCAGCCUGACGGUCUGAGGAGGCUGAGUUAAUGCGCGCUGUCCCGUAAGCAUCACACCGAGCCUGCUCUAUCGUCAGGGGUGAGAGAGGCUUGUUAGUUAAUAUUAAAGCAGUAAAUUAUCUGGGGUGGGGAGGGGGACAUCGUAAUUAACACCAUGUUCAUAGAAGAUUACCUUCUGUUUAUGGUUGGAUUAUUUGGGAUACUCAUCAGAUAGCAUUAAGCAAUAUAUUGUGCCUAUGUAACUGCUGUUGCGUUAGCUUUGUCUGGUAAUCUUUUUUUUUUUUUUUUUUUUUUGCUGAUCUUGAGACUUCUGAAGUUCUUCUUUAUAGCUGAGAGAUAGCUAACUCUUAAAAUAAGUCUUUAUACCAUUUCUAAAAGGAACGUUAUUUUUCCUGAGCUUAAUAAAAUGUGUGCAGAUAUCUCGUGUAUUCAGAUAGCUGUUUAUGUCUGAAUGUGGAUUUGCAUAUGCCUGAAUGUUGUGGAUUCGAAUGUGCCCGGGCAAGCUGGGAAAUGUCACUCUUAGCAUAUGUUUGUUUGGACACUAGAUGGUCACUAAACAUCUUGCAGUGGAAGGCAACAGUCUGGUCUGUAUUUGUGAGACAGCUGGCCCCUCAUCAGUAACUGCUGCUGCCCAGGUUGGUGCCUUUGGAUGCCACAAUAAAUAACUACUGGGUCAAAGGUCCGUAUUACUGAACGCUUUUGCCUCUGUUAUGUAGUGUAUUUAGUAAUCCUGCCACUUUAUUGCUUCUCUUAUUACUUCAGGAUUACAAAGCUGGGUGUUAAGUGUCUGUUGCCCGUGCAACUAUCUCUAAAUGUGUAUAUCAGCAAAUACAGUUUCACUUCGAAAAGGAAAGUGAUUUAUUACAGCUCGGUCCCCUGGGAAGCUUCUGGUCUGUUCGUUCUGCAGGUAUUUUAGAAAAAUCUGCUUUUGGGAGGACGGAAUAAAUGAGUUUACAAAUGGCUGCUGUAUUUUCUGCUUCUACAGAAGUGGGUCAGCUUUAAUCGUAGUUUGAGAAGAUGAUCGAUUAGUCUAACCAGAAAGUUAUUUUAGGGGUUUUUAGCGUGUUCACCGCUAAAUUUCAUGGUAGCCUGUGAGUUUUGGUCACUGAUUUAACUGAUAAUGUUGUUUUUAUUGGCAGAAAGAUUCUGAAGCUGUUUUCUAAUCAAUUUCCUAAGUAUUUUAUAUGUAGUCUUGAUAUAAACAAAUAUAAAUAAAUAAACUUCAGGGUUUUUUCAUCUGUAGUGUUACCAACCGUUGUAUCAACUGCUUUGGCCUGAAAGUUGGAGGAACUACAAGCAUCAGUGCUCUGAAUUACUCGUCUAAAAAAUGGUCCAUUUAUCAAGCAUUUCAGAUGACCUACAGUUUCCUGAGCUCAGUUAAUACAUCUGAGGGCACGCUCUCAUUCCACUUCUUGCCUUUCCUCAUAGUCACUCAGCUUUUCCUGCUCUUCUGCAGGCUGGUGCCGAAUGAGCACUGUCUAGAUGUUCCUUAGUUGGGGUGCCUGUUCAAAUGAACGCUUUUUUUCUUAGCUGUCACUUACAGUAAGAUAAAAGGGCUGUUUUUUUUUGCUUCCAGGAGUAUGAUUUGACAGAAUUUUAAGCUGUUUUAAAUGCCAUAUAAAUGUGUUUAUAUCCUGCCUGUAUUCAAACUUUCCUAACUGUACAAAAGAUGUUCUCAGUAGGGGCUAGGCAUGUGCUUACAAGCCAGUAAUCAGUAUCUUGCAUUUUUUAAGCAGUUGUUUCUAUCCCUGGUAUGUAACGCACUUUUGAUAUCUCUUGUGGAUGUCAGCGUCACGAUGUUUUCUUGAGGCUUCCCAUCUCGCCUUUCAGCUUUGCUGUUCGUGGAUGCCAGUUGUUCUCGGUGCAGAAGGCUGACAGAAUGUGUCUAAACAGCAUGGGUAACUCCUGAAUUCCUAUUUCAAUUCCUAUUUCCCCCUGGCAUCAUUGCCUUGUUAUUCUCCCAUUUGCUGUUUUGCUGGGGAAUCGCUCUGUAUUGUGUGCUGAUCUGAUGCUUUUCAGCCCAGCUUUUAAAGAGGGGAAGUUUGAAAGCUUUGCUUCCCUCAGGAGUUAAUUCUGCUGAAACGCUGAGUGUGGCUGACGGGAUUUGGUGCUUCUGCAAAUCCAACUAGCUCUUGCACACUAGUAGUGCCUUUUUGUAUAUUCUUUAUUGUUUUGUAAUGUACUCUUCAGAUGUUUCACUAUAAUCUGAGGCAAAACAAGCAAACACCACCCCCCAACCCAAAGGAAAGGGAGAAUUGUGUGGACUUCGUUCAUCUCCCCCACCCAUCAAUUAGCUAAUUUAUACAAGAAAAACAUUAUUUUUUUUUUGAGACUAAAUGAAUGAAAAUAGGAUGCUGUAAAACAGUCUCUGGCUUCUUGCAAGUGAACUAUUAUAAGCUGGUUGCUAUUGACUACAAAAUAUUGCUCACCUAUAUGCAACAGAUAGUUCUGCAAUUUCAACUCUCCAAAUGAAAUGUUUGCUGCUAUCAGAGUUUGUUUCAGUGACUUAAAAUAGAUCAAGAACUCCUAACCUUGCCAUUUUUAGCAUCAAAAGUACAUGCAGUUUUUCUUCGGUGAUGGGAACUGCAUAGUCACUUCUGUCUUUUGUCAGUUUUUUUAUUGAAAUACAGUUUUGCUCUUGUGCCUCUUCUGGGGGACAGCAGAACAUCAAUACUGAAAGCAGGAAGCCUUUUCAAAAUCGUUCUUGGGAAUGGAAGAGGGUAAGGUACAGCGUAGCACAUUUAUAGCUUAAAAUCCCUGUUGACUGCUUCUCAUUCAUUCUUUGCUCCUGUCACGUAACAGUAAUUGAAACGAGAAAAGUGGCAAGGUGAAGUGGGGUUUUUCUAAUGAGUCAGCCUUUUAAAGCUGGAACACUUAAUAAAAAAAUAAAUAAAACUGGGUUGACAAGUUAAGGGUUCCACAAAUAUAAUAGCUGGCUACUGCUUGCGCUGUCAAGAUGGGGAUAACAGACUUGUUUAAGCUAACCAGACUUAAAUGCAACUGGGAAACACUUGUGUCCCUGAGGUGCUGCAACCUGACCAGCAGUGCCAUGCCUCCUCCGUGUCGCGUGCAGCGGUGGCAGGGAGAGGAAACAAAGCAAGCACCCCCACAGAAAGACGGAGCGGACGUUUUGGCACCUGUUACGCAACUGGAUUUGAUGUUACCGUUUGUUUUUGAACAAGAGGGCCUGCCUCUCAUCACUAUAAGUCUUUUAGUCAGAUUACGUUUUUCCAGAAUAAUACUUACUCUGUUGGUUUACCAUUACACAGUGUAAUGUAGUAUUUCUAUUUGUGUAAUUGUCGAGGGACGUUUCAGCUGAAGUUCAUCCCGAGCUGAGGCAGAAUGACACUGGAAUGCUAUUAUCUUCCCUGCUGUAAUUGCCAUGGCAACACCUGCAGGUAGACGAGGCAAACCAAGGAUCCUUUCUCUGUCACACAGAUACCACUUCUGUGUUUCUUCUUCCCUCUCAGUAAUGACUCUGAGGCGCUUGUGGCCCAAACGUGCCCGGAGUUGUCAUGAAAUGUGCUUUGCUAGCUUUUGUCAAUUUAACUUUGACUUUAAUUUUGUAAGUGUCUAUUUUCUGUGAUUCUAUUUUGAAAAUGAAUGCCUUCUAGGAGAAGCUGGCAACCUAGCCUGGGUUGUCUUAGGAGAUGGAUGGGAUGAGCCAGGGGCUAGGGAGUUUCUUUGGAACUUCACAGAAGACCAUGGGCUACUAAAGCACUUACGUAUCUUUUACGAAUCUGGAUGUUAAUUUCACUGAUCUUCCUUCAGCUUUCUUUACAACAGGGAUGAGAGUAUUGCCCAGCUCUUUUACAGAGAGAAGUUUUAAGGGCAGUUUAAAGCUUUGAGAGGAGAUUUGGUUAAAAGAAUGGACAUUUGAUAAGUGACAAAUGACUUUCAUGAGGUGUGAAUAGUAUGCAGCAAAGCUACAAAGAGGAUAUUGGAAUGAUGUCACAGAAAUUGCUCUUGUGACCUUACACUUAAUACUAACGAUUGCAGGACUGAAAAAAACAGGGCUAAUAAUUUCAUAAUUUCACCUGCAAUGCCGAAGUGUUGUUCAUCUGAACGUGUUGAAUGUUCCCUACGUGGAGCUGUUGGGUGACCAGCGCUGGAGAGCAGCAAUGUGGUGUAGGAGCACAGAACUCCUCUGAGGGUCAUCCUGCCCAGUCUGCUUGAAGCAGAGCAACUACUGCCAACAGGAGGUUGGAUCAUUCACUGCUUUGUUUAGUAGACUGUGUGUAGUAUGCAGAGAAAUAAAACAUUUGGUUUUGAAGCA